UGAGGAAUAUUGGUCAAUGGACGAGAGUCUGAACCAGCCAAGUAGCGUGCAGGAUGACGGCCCUAUGGGUUGUAAAACUGCUUUUUGUACGGGGAGUAAAGUGAGCCACGUGUGGUUUAUUGCAGGUACCGUAUGAAUAAGGACCGGCUAAUUCCGUGCCAGCAGCCGCGGUAAUACGGAAGGUCCGGGCGUUAUCCGGAUUUAUUGGGUUUAAAGGGAGCGUAGGCCGGAGAUUAAGCGUGUUGUGAAAUGUAGACGCUCAACGUCUGCACUGCAGCGCGAACUGGUUUCCUUGAGUACGCACAAAGUGGGCGGAAUUCGUGGUGUAGCGGUGAAAUGCUUAGAUAUCACGAAGAACUCCGAUUGCGAAGGCAGCUCACUGGAGCGCAACUGACG
rnacentral:rRNA from 1 species